rnacentral:rRNA from 1 species
UACGAAGGGGGCUAGCGUUGUUCGGAUUUACUGGGCGUAAAGCGCACGUAGGCGGAUCGUUAAGUCGGGGGUGAAAUCCUGGAGCUCAACUCCAGAACUGCCUUCGAUACUGGCGAUCUCGAGUCCGGAAGAGGUGAGUGGAACUCCUAGUGUAGAGGUGGAAUUCGUAGAUAUUAGGAAGAGCACCAGUGGCGAAGGCGGCUCACUGGUCCGGUACUGACGCUGAGGUGCGAAAGCGUGGGGAGCAAACAGG